rnacentral:tRNA from 1 species
AAGCGGGCUCCGGAGAACGGAUGUGAUUGCACCCCGGACAGCGUGCUAAUGUUCUGGGUGUCGGCAGGCGAGAGCGCAAGACCC